CGGAGGGUGCAAGCGUUAUCCGGAUCUACUGGGUUUAAAGGGUGUGUAGGCGGGUCUUUAAGUCAGUGGUGAAAUCUCCGAGCUCAACUUGGAAACUGCCAUUGAUACUAUUAGUCUUGAAUUUUGUUGAGGUAGGCGGAAUAAGUCAUGUAGCGGUGAAAUGCAUAGAUAUGACUUAGAACACCAAUUGCGAAGGCAGCUUGCUAAACAAACAUUGACGCUGAGGCACGAAAGCGUGGGGAUCAAACAGGAUUAGAUACCCUGGUAGUCCACGCCCUAAACGAUGAUUACUCGACAUACGCGAUACACAGUGUGUGUCUGAGCGAAAGCAUUAAGUAAUCCACCUGGGAAGUACGACCGCAAGGUUG
rnacentral:rRNA from 1 species